rnacentral:rRNA from 1 species
AGUGAACGCUGGCGGUAGGCCUAACACAUGCAAGUCGAACGGCAGCACAGUAAGAGCUUGCUCUUACGGGUGGCGAGUGGCGGACGGGUGAGGAAUACAUCGGAAUCUACUUUUUCGUGGGGGAUAACGUAGGUAAACUUACGCUAAUACCGCAUACGACCUACGGGUGAAAGCAGGGGAUCUUCGGACCUUGCGCGAUUGAAUGAGCCGAUGUCGGAUUAGCUAGUUGGCGGGGUAAAGGCCCACCAAGGCGACGAUCCGUAGCUGGUCUGAGAGGAUGAUCAGCCACACUGGAACUGAGACACGGUCCAGACUCCUACGGGAGGCAGCAGUGGGGAAUAUUGGACAGUGGGCGCAAGCCUGAUCCAGCCAUACCGCGUGGGUGAAGAAGGCCUUCGGGUUGUAAAGCCCUUUUGUUGGGAAAGAAAAGCAGCAGGUUAAUACCCCGCUGUUCUGACGGUACCCAAAGAAUAAGCACCGGCUAACUUCGUG